UUUCCGUAGGUGAACCUGCGGAAGGAUCAUUAGAGAAUUUUGGUCAGUCGAAAGACUUUCCUAAUACUUUAUUCCAUAAACACCUGUGCACCUUUUUUUGAAUGGAUGUUGUUAGCUAUUAGUUUUAUUACGAACGCAACUUCGUCUGUACACUACAAACAUAUCAGUCUUUGAAUGUAAAAUAAAAUUGUAAUAAAAUACAACUUUCAACAACGGAUCUCUUGGCUCUCGCAUCGAUGAAGAACGCAGC
rnacentral:misc_RNA from 1 species